UACGUAGGGUGCGAGCGUUAAUCGGAAUUACUGGGCGUAAAGCGUGCGCAGGCGGUGAUGUAAGACAGGUGUGAAAUCCUCGGGCUUAACCUGGGAACUGCAUUUGUGACUGCAUCGCUGGAGUGCGGCAGAGGGGGAUGGAAUUCCGCGUGUAGCAGUGAAAUGCGUAGAUAUGUGGAGGAAUACCGAUGGCGAAGGCAGCCCCCUGGGAUAACACUGACGCUCAUGCACGAAAGCGUGGGGAGCAAACAGG
rnacentral:rRNA from 1 species